rnacentral:rRNA from 1 species
ACGCUCGACACCUACGGGAGCAGCAGUGGGGAAUAUUGGGCAAUGGGCGCAAGCCUGACCCAGCAACGCCGCGUGAAGGAAGAAGGCUUUCGGGUUGUAAACUUCUUUUGUCAGGGAACAGUAGAAGAGGGUACCUGACGAAUAAGCCACGGCUAACUACGUGCAGCAGCCGCGGUAAUCUGAGCGGGCUGGCAAGGC